GACGAACGCUGGCGGCGUGCCUAAUACAUGCAAGUCGAGCGAACUCUGGUUUUUGAUUUUUGGUGCUUGCACCAAAAUGAUAAAACAUUUGAGUGAGCGGCGGAUGGGUGAGUAACACGUGGGUAACCUGCCCUAAAGUGGGGGAUAACAUUUGGAAACAAGUGCUAAUACCGCAUAACAACAUUUACCACAUGGUUUAUGUUUAAAAGAUGGUUUUGCUAUCACUUUAGGAUGGACCCGCGGCGUAUUAGUUAGUUGGUGAGGUAAUGGCUCACCAAGACCGUGAUACGUAGCCGACCUGAGAGGGUAAUCGGCCACAUUGGGACUGAGACACGGCCCAAACUCCUACGGGAGGCAGCAGUAGGGAAUCUUCCACAAUGGACGAAAGUCUGAUGGAGCAACGCCGCGUGAGUGAAGAAGGUUUUCGGAUCGUAAAACUCUGUUGUUGAAGAAGAACAUGCGUGAGAGUAACUGUUCACGUAUUGACGGUAUUCAACCAGAAAGCCACGGCUAACUACGUGCCAGCAGCCGCGGUAAUACGUAGGUGGCAAGCGUUGUCCGGAUUUAUUGGGCGUAAAGCGAGCGUAGGCGGUUUAUUAAGUCUGAUGUGAAAGCCCUCGGCUCAACCGAGGAAGUGCAUCGGAAACUGGUAAACUUGAGUGCAGAAGAGGAGAGUGGAACUCCGUGUGUAGCGGUGGAAUGCGUAGAUAUAUGGAAGAACACCAGUGGCGAAGGCGGCUCUCUGGUCUGUAACUGACGCUGAGGUUCGAAAGCGUGGGUAGCAAACAGGAUUAGAUACCCUGGUAGUCCACGCCGUAAACGAUGAGUGCUAAGUGUUGGAGGGUUUCCGCCCUUCAGUGCUGCAGCUAACGCAUUAAGCACUCCGCCUGGGGAGUACGACCGCAAGGUUGAAACUCAAAGGAAUUGACGAGGGCCCGCACAAGCGGUGGAGCAUGUGGUUUAAUUCGAAGCAACGCGAAGAACCUUACCAGGUCUUGACAUACCAUGAAAAGCUAAGAGAUUAGUCUUUCCCUUCGGGGACAUGGAUACAGGUUGUGCAUGGUUGUCGUCAGUUCGUGUCGUGAGAUGUUGGGUUAAGUCCCGCAACGAGCGCAACCCUUAUUACUAGUUGCCAGCAUUCAGUUGGGCACUCUAGUGAGACUGCCGGUGACAAACCGGAGGAAGGUGGGGACGACGUCAAAUCAUCAUGCCCCUUAUGACCUGGGCUACACACGUGCUACAAUGGUCGGUACAACGUGCUGCGAACUCGCGAGGGUAAGCAAAUCACUUAAAACCGAUCUCAGUUCGGAUUGUAGGCUGCAACUCGCCUACAUGAAGCUGGAAUCGCUAGUAAUCGCGGAUCAGCAUGCCGCGGUGAAUACGUUCCCGGGCCUUGUACACACCGCCCGUCACACCAUGAGAGUUAGUAACACCCAAAGCCGAUGAGGUAACCUUCGGGAGCCAGCCGUCUAAGGUGGGACA
rnacentral:rRNA from 1 species